rnacentral:lncRNA from 1 species
CUCUUCCGGGGGGGAGGGGCGGCGAGGCGAGGCCUGCGGAGCGGAGGAAGACAAACAUAAAGAUGAAGUGCUUAAUUCAAGGUCACACAAUGUCGGGGAUGGACCUCCAGAUUUCCUUACUGGUGAGACGUGGUCUUGUAACACAGUGGUUAAGAAUGUGACUUUGGAGCCAGCCUGCUAGGGGCUGAAUUCUGACUCAGCCAUUUACUAACUGUGUGACCUUAGGCUGGAGUGCAAUGGCAUGAUCUCGGCUCAUCACAACCUCUGCUUCCUGGGUUCAAGCGAUUCUCCUGCCUCAGCCUCCCGAGUACCUGGGACUACAGGCACUCGCCACCAUGCCCGGCUGAUUUUUGUAUUUUUAAUAGAGAUGGUUUCACUAUGUUGGCCAGGCUGGUCUCGAACUCCUGACCUUGUGAUCUGCCCACCUCAGCCUCGAAAAGUGCUGGGAUUACAGGCGUGAGCCACUGCGCCCAGCCUUGUAUUUUUUUUCAGUUUGGGUAGCUGUCCCUAAUUCAUUUGUUAAAGGAGAAGCAAGAGCAAGAACCUUUAAUCUGUUCUCCUCUUCCCUAAUUUGAAAGUAGCUUGUUAUUUUGAAUAUCACUUUCUCUGAAAUAGCACAUCUCCAUCUCAGAGAAUGGAUUUAAUGUUUGGAUACAGCCAAAAGUCAUUUCAUUACCAAACCAUGGGGUGAAUAUACCAUGUAAAGCAGUUUGGGAUCAGAACUCACAGUCUGAAUUGUAAGUGAUGAGACUGCUGUCUCUCUGCUACAGCUUCUUGGCUGGCUCUGAAGGCUCUUUGAAGGCAGAUCCUAACAAGGGGACUGCUUUGAAGGGCCAUUGUUCAUUUGGAAUGAUAAAGUCUAUGUUGUUCAAAAAACAAAUGCUUGUAGCAGGUAUUUUUUCACUCCAGACUGAGAAUAUUGGUGGGAUAUUGAUAAGGGGUACUGAAUGGUAAUAAACAUGUGCUCUAGCUCUGUGCUAGUCAGCUUAUUUCAGAACUCUAGUUUGAUUCAGUUUCUUGCCUCUGACUCAAAAUGGAGGGAGAGUGAUUUUUACAUAAGAGAACACACCCACAUAUCCUUUUGGCAGCAGCUACCUGCCAGAGAUGUUGAAGAAGAGUAGCCAACCUUUACACAGCAGAUAUUGUGUGCCAGUCAUAGUCCUAAGUAUAAUACCUUACAUGUAUAAACUUCUUAUAAGGUUGGUGCUCUGUACCGAAUUGAAUAGUAUCCCCCAAAAUUCAUGUUGUCCCAGAACCUAUGAAAGUGAUCUUACUUGAGGGAGGGGGGAGGGGGGAGGGAUAGCAUUAGGAGAUAUACCUAAUGCUAAAUGACGAGUUAAUGGGUGUAGCACACCAGCAUGGCACAUGUAUACAUAUGUAACUAACCUGCACAUUGU